UGUUGGUUAAGUCCCGCAACGAGCGCAACCCUUGCCUUAGUUACCAUCAUUAAGUUGGGGACUCUAAGGAGACUGCCGGUGAUAAACCGGAGGAAGGUGGGGACGACGUCAAGUCAUCAUGGCCCUUAUGACCGGGGCUACACACGUACUACAAUGGUCGGUACAGACGGUCGCAAGCUCGCGAGAGUAAGCUAAUCCGAGAAAACCGAUCGUAGUCCGGAUCGCAGUCUGCAACUCGACUGCGUGAAGUCGGGAUCGCUAGUAAUCGCAAAUCAGAAUGUUGCGGUGAAUACGUUCCCGGGCCUU
rnacentral:rRNA from 1 species